AAAUAAUUCACCAAACAAAUAAAAUGAGAGAAGAUGGUGUUGUCUGCUAGGACCAAAACUGGAACCUUCGGUUUUGGAAAUCGGAACUUUUGGUUUCUGCUUGACAGCAUAGACCAAAGCAAACACCAUCCAAAUUAAUUCACACUAACAUACAAUAGAGUCUUACAAAGUUAAAUGAAUUCAACACACAUAGUAGCGCACAUUACAUAAAUUCUCAAGUCACAAGAGCUAAGAUAGAAUUUAUUACAAGGGCCUGUUGCAUCCAACAGCCAGAAACUGGAACUUCCAGUUUUGCCAGACAGACACUAUAUAGAAGCUUUAAUCUUCACUUCUUCUCCCUCUUUGUCAUCCAUCACCACAAAGGAUCCUAGGGGGCUUCUUGUGCACCUUCUAGUCAUUUGUAGGAUCAACAUGGGGCAUACCAUCUCCAUCAUUUCCACUUGGGCCACCAAAAUAAGGAGGAGGAUUUUGUGGCAUUCCAAAGAUGACUUCUUCAGAAUGAAAGUGGUACAAAAAUCCUGCUAAAAAGUAGUCCAAAAUCUGUAUUCUUGAGCGCUCUUAGGACCACUGUAUGGAUCCUCUCUUCUCAACCACUUCACUGUCUCGGUCAUCCCAUCCCUAAAAUAAUUCGUAGGUCCUCUAUGAAUUGGAUUUGUUGGCCUACGAAUAGUGGGCAUAGCUAUGUCACCCACAUCCUCAUCAUCGCUUCCCUCAUCAUCAUCAUCCUCUCCAUCAUCAUCAUCAUUCCCAUCACCAUCACCAUCUCCUUCAUCACUGCUAGCUGGCUCCCUGUCAUUGCGGUGCUUGACAAUGUGUUCCUUUUCCUCACUAUCAUUGCUGCUUGUUUCUCUAUCACUUU
rnacentral:lncRNA from 1 species